CCUACGGGCGGCUGCAGUAGGGAAUAUUGGGCAAUGCUCGCAAGAGUGACCCAGCCAUGCCGCGUGCAGGAAGAAGGCUUUCUGAGUUGUAAACUGCUUUUGGAAGGGAACAAAAGGGCCUUGCGAGGCAAAUUGAGUGUACCUUCAGAAUAAGCACCGGCUAACUCCGUGCCAGCAGCCGCGGUAAUACGGAGGGUGCAAGCGUUGUCCGGAUUUAUUGGGUUUAAAGGGUGCGUAGGCGGCCGCUUAAGUCAGGGGUGAAAGACUGCAGCUCA
rnacentral:rRNA from 1 species